rnacentral:rRNA from 1 species
UACGUAGGGUGCAGGCGUUAAUCGGAAUUACUGGGCGUAAAGCGUGCGCAGGCGGUUUGCUAAGACAGGUGUGAAAUCCCCGGGCUUAACCUGGGAACUGCGCUUGUAACUGGCAAGCUAGAGUGUGGCAGAGGGGGGUGGAAUUCCGCGUGUAGCAGUGAAAUGCGUAGAGAUGCGGAGGAACACCGAUGGCGAAGGCAGCCCCCUGGGCCAAUACUGACGCUCAGGCACGAAAGCGUGGGGAGCAAACAGG